rnacentral:piRNA from 1 species
UGGCAUCUUCAGUAUGACCUGCUU